UUGUAAAAAGCAAAAUAAACGAAAGUUUAUGACGCAAAGCCAUAGGGCUAAAAGUAUAAAAACUCAAGCUAGCUAGGUUGCC
rnacentral:ncRNA from 1 species